GAUCGUACAGUUUACACGGAUAACUGUGGUAAUUCUAGAGCUAAUACGUGCAUGUAGCCGGUACCCUUGUGGUGCUGGCGCAGUUAUUUGCUCAAAACUAAUCCAGCCCUCGGGUUGGUCAAUUGGUGAAUCUGAAUAACCGAAGCGGAGCGUGUGGUCUCGUACCGACGCUAGAUCAUUCAAGUGUCUGACUUAUCAGCUUGUUGUUAGGUUAUGUCCCUAACAAGGCUAUUACGGGUAACGGGGUGUCAGGGCCCGACACCGGAGAGGGAGCCUGAGAAACGGCUACCACAUCCAAGGAAGGCAGCAGGCGCGCAAAUUACCCACUCCCGGCACGGGGAGGUAGUGACGAAAAAUAACGAUGCGAGAGCAUUAUGCUUCUCGUAAUCGGAAUGGGUACAUUUUAAAUCCCUUAACGAGGAUCUAUUGGAGGGCAAGUCUGGUGCCAGCAGCCGCGGUAAUUCCAGCUCCAAUAGCGUAUAUUAAAGUUGCUGCGGUUAAAAAGCUCGUAGUUGGAUCUGGGUAGUCGAUGAGCGGUGCGCCGUAAGGCGUUACUGUUUGUUCGGCACCACAUAUCGGCCAUGUCUUGCAUGCUCUUCACUGAGUGUGCUUGGCGACCGAAACGUUUACUUUGAAAAAAUUAGAGUGCUCAAAGCAGGCGUUAAGCCUUGCAUAAUGGUGCAUGGAAUAAUGAAAUAAGACCUUGGCGCUAUUUUGUUGGUUUUCGGUGCUCAAGGUAAUGAUUAAUAGGAACAGACGGGGGCAUUCGUAUUGCGGCGUUAGAGGUGAAAUUCUUGGAUCGUCGCAAGACGCACUACUGCGAAAGCAUUUGCCAAGAAUGUUUUCAUUAAUCAAGAACGAAAGUUAGAGGUUCGAAGGCGAUCAGAUACCGCCCUAGUUCUAACCAUAAACGAUGCCAACCAGCGAUCCGUGGGUGUUUAUUUGAUGACUCCACGGGCAGCUUCCGGGAAACCAAAGUGCUUAGGUUCCGGGGGAAGUAUGGUGCAAAGCUGAAACUA
rnacentral:rRNA from 1 species